GUUAGGGGCUGACUUCUGCCAGCUGAGUGGAAAAGUGAUUUAAUUUUCCAGUUUAAGCAUGGCAGCUGUGUGUGUGGGAGGGCUGUGAGGGAAAAGGGGAGUUGUUGUUGUUUUUAAGGUGACCAAAAUCUGGUCCACUAGAUUUAAUCUAACCUACUUUCAGCCCUCUGAAGUGGUGAAGGCUGACGUGAGGCUGCUGUCACAAGAGAGAUGCACAGCAGGGUGUGGGUGAUGGGGCCGAGGUGUAGCCACCCACCCUGGGGCAUAACGGCAAGGGCAGAGGAGCUGGGGCCGGUUUUCAGCUGCUCAGUCUCCCAUAAUCCGUGUCCCUGCCCGCUCCUGCUGCAGGAUCUGCAGGACAGGCUCAAGUACUGCAUUUUGCAGAAGCCCUCUUUGUAACCUAUCCAUCCUGUUGCUGCCCCUCUCGCCCCGAUGAAGGCGUGCCUCUCCAGGGUGCAGUGCAUUUGCACCUUGUUUGUUUGACUUCGUGUCUUGCUUCAACAUUCAGUCUCUGUUGUGAAGGUCAGAGCCCUGCUUGGAGCUUGGCCUGAAAGGUGAAAAGCUGUAAUAACAAAUGAAGUGUUAGUCAGCGUCUUCACUUCCCGCUGUAGGUACAGACAAGACUUGGAUGAUGCCAGCAGGAGUGCUGGGCAGCAGUUGAAGGACAGAUAAGAUUUAUUUUUCCUCCUUUUCUUUCUGUUCUCCUUCAACAAGAACAACCAGUUGUAAAUACUUGGGAUGCAGGCUUCCGUAACUGAAAGGAUAAUUUGGCUUGGGAAAUCCCAAAGUCCAUGUCUUAUGUUAAUCAAAAACCCAUGAUAAAAGAACGGCACAGUCUGUUACUCAUGAUUAGUCCUAUCUUGAUCUGUGGAGGCUAAGGAUAUCCAAAUCAGCAAUUUGAAACACGGUCUGAAACAGUGAGCCUUCCCAUUGUGCAGCACAGCAGGAGCCAGAACUGCUCACUGACUGCCAGCUGCAUCCCCUCCGCUGCAUCUCCCGCUCGUGUAUCCUGUCUCUUGCUAACUUGCGCCAGCCCCUCCUGUCCCAGCCAUCCCAAACACCCUAAGGCAGAGGCGGGACCCCCUCACAGGUAGAGGGAUGCAAAGGCAAUGUCCUGCUCCUCUGGGAAUGGUGAGGAGAUCCAUGGAAAUGCAGUUUAACAUGUUUCCCUUCUUGGUUUGUAAUGCUCACCCAGAAAUCUAAAUUUCAGUGUCACUGGUAGCAGCUUCUCGGUUGAAAGAUGAAACCAAUGAUUGAGGAUUUUGCCGUGGAAGAAAUGUGACGUACUUUGAAUUAUUCUGCACAGAACACAAUCUUCAAAAACAUCGUUUUCCUUUACACUUGACAAUGACAGUCUCUGUGUUUGAGUUAUCGGAUGAGGACACAAGCAGCAGCAUUAGCGUGAUGACUGAAAGAGACAUUUCCUUACAAUACACAAAUGAAAAUUCAUUACUAACAUAAUGCAACAACAAAGAAUGCAAAUGUACAGACAUGGGUAAAUGGCAAAUGAAUUCAGCAAAGAGGAACACCGUGCAUGUUGGGGAAAACAGCACGGUAAAGUGUCUCUGCACACUUCAGGUGAGAACCACGUUAAUAAUUUCAGAGUCGAUUUGUUAGUGUGUUCUGAUAACAGUGCUACUUUGUGUGGUCACAGUGGAAUUCUGAAACCUUGUUCUAUGCCCACAGGGAACAGGAGUCUACGGCAGCGCACCAGUGGCAAGAGAAGGUAACCUGGUUUGGAAAUGUUGGGAAAGAUGCGGAGGUUCACAGUUUAAAGCACGAGUUGAAGUCAUAGGUGUGGAGCUCCGCAACCUGCAUCAUCUCACCGGAGCGGGGGACAGAGCCUUUCCUCUCCCCAUUGUGUUUGGAAGGGGAGUACUCAGCUGCCUACAAUCACAGACGGGAGCAAGAGGGGGAGGUGAUGUUAAGGUUUAUUUUAUUCACAUCUGUAAGGCAUUUUAAAACCACCACAGGUGAUGCAACCCUGGAGGCCAGAGUUGGUUUCGUUUUGAAUCGUGCACUGGAAAUAUAUGGUACCAAGCCCUGCACCAGAUCACGAGUGAGCUGUACCCUCCUGGGUCAGCGCUUGCGCUGUGACAACAGCGCUCUGCACUGGGAAGGCGCUGGUAGGUCCUUUCAACAUCUCUGUGACACGAGGGUUGGAAAACUGUCAUGGAUUUGGGUUUUUCUUAAGUCAGUACAGGACCUGCUGUUGUACCAUUGCUACAGCAGAGACUGUCAGUCAGGGGCUUGAGGAGGUUGUUUUUUCUCUGUUCUUUUUAACCUCCUCUGUUUUGCAAAUUAAAAGAAGUUUUCUAAUCAGGUUCAGUUUCUACUUCAAAUAAGUAGCAUUAGUGCUGGGGAAAAACUCUUCAAACCACUCAGAAAUUGAGCAGUAAAUCAAUGGCAGCUUCAGAACAAGUUAGCCGUGCUGAGGAAUGAAAAUGCAGUCAUGGAUUGAUGGGAAGGUUUUCAGAAUGACACAGAAGCUGAAAUCGCACCUUUUCAGUUCAGAUCUCUGGGCGUUUGUCUGAGAUCCUUCCCCCACUGCUCAGAGAAUCCGCAGACCUCUGUGGGAAGGCAGCUCUGUGUUGAGCUCUGAGAGUGCCCGGUUCAGUAGCUGUUUAGGCACACUCCAGAUUUCCCAGCACCAGAUAAAACCCCACUGACAGCUUGUCUCCAUGCCCGAUAUUGCACACUUCCUUACCUGCCUGGUUUUAGAUAGGAGUAAAAUCCUUCCUUUACUUAUUCAUGAGUAAUAUAAUUAUAUAGAAUCAGAACAUGUGGAAGCCAGCCUUGAGGUACUCUUGAGAGCCAGCUUCCAGCCCCAAGAAGACAAAAUAUUUGGGGCUAAAGAUGCGCAAGGAGAUGCACCGUUGGUGAUCAGGAGUAAAUGAAGCAUUAAGAAGGAACCAGCUGUGUGGGAGCGGAACUGCCAUCCGCCAGGAGCCAGGCUAUGCCCGAGGCAGCAGAAGCUGUUCUGUUUCUUCUUUUGGUUUUUUGGCUCUACCUUGCAGCACUUGUAGGAAAAUGAGAGGGGAGAAAUGAUAAAGGGAUUUGAAUCUCCGUUCUGAAGGCUGUAGUAUUACGAGUAGAUUUCCUGGUGGAGAAAGCACUGCAGAGUAUCUUAGGUAUUUUUAGGGUAAAAGGACCAUUGAGCAAAGAUUAACCAUUCUGGGGCACUAAUGCUGCGUGAAAAGGCGUCAUUACACUCCGUAAGUGCUGCUUUCUGUCAACAGCAACCUGUUACUUGACUUCAGUUAUUUAUUUUUGUUAAGUGAUGGGUACAUACCCAUGUGAUACAUUUUUAACCGAAGGGAUGGGAUAUAUUUCAGGGAACACAGGGGCUAUUACUUGUUUUGCCUGUCUCUUUAAUAUGUACUGCUCAUUGCUCCAUCCUUUUUCAUGUUGAAGCUUCUCUGGAGUGGCUGAUAUCCUGGUUUCUUGGGUCAGGCAGAAACAGGGUUUCCUUUAAGCAUCUCACUUAGGAGCAGGAUAUGGAAAUGAUCCAAUUAAUCAUCUGUGAUUUCUUGCAGGCCCAUUAGAACGAGAUCACAGUGUUCAUGCAAAAGAAAUCUUUUCCAUGGCCACACUUGAUUUUGUUGAGUAGCCUCAGUGCUGCUGCAUCCCGACAUUCCUGUACCUGCUGGUUAUGGUCAGGUUUCUGGUGUUCCUAGUCCUGUCACUCAAUUAAUCCUUCUUCCUUACACUAGCCCUCAAAUGUCAUCUCCUGCACUGGCUCACCGGGUCUGUUUGGUGAUUAAUCUGCCUUACGCCUGAGCUCUGAGCCCAUUUAAAAAGCCUCAGCACCCUGGGACUUCCUACAAGGUUUUCCAUUUCCUUUUCUUAUUUACUGUAGAAAAUUGCUGAUGUAAGAAAAAAAAAAAGAAGUUAUCCUUUUGCUCAUGGAAAAUGCAUCACACGGCUUCAAGGAACAGCUGAGGCCCAUCUGGCUAAAAGAGGAAGGCAGAAACAAAAAGGGGAAGAUGAGAACGUGAACAUCUGGAUUUUGGUCCCAAGAUAUCAAUGAAAUAGACUGAAAUCAGGGGAUGCUGGGACUCAGAACCCGAAAGGAGCCCCUGUGAAGUCUCAACUGACCUCUUGAGAGCAUGGGGACAAAAUGCUUCCCAGCCAAAACCCGCUGUGUAUCAACUAAUGUGCUGCCCAACUACAGGGUCUGACUGCAAAAGGAAACUUCUUCAUGGAAAGCUCAUCAAAGUGAAUGGAGGUGUGAAUUUAGCUAAACUGGAACUAAACCCUGGUUUGAAUCCCCUAAAGGAAGAUCUAACAGUGAUCACCAAGGAAACUAAAAUCCAUUGGUGGCUCUCCACGUCUCCAGCAGAGUUGAGUUAGAGGCUGCUGGCUGGGGGCAGAGUGCUUGCCUUGGGUCAAGGAUGAGAAGCAUGAAGCGGUCCCAGCUGCAUCACUUACAAAGGAGGACGCUGAUUGUUCGUCUGUCGAAGAGACAAGAAGGGUAAAUUUUCCACACCCAUCUGGUGAUGGUGGUUUCCACAGACCCUCACUAAUUGCAAAGCACACACCGUCCCGGUCGCCUUCGGGUGUUCCAGAGGGAGACGGAGCCCUUGGAUGCAGCUCAGGAUGGACAAGGCAGCCAAGGUUCUCCAGCUGCAGGUCUGGCUGCCUUUUGGAGGGGCCAUUCUUUCUUGCCCACGUCUCAAAUGCUGCUUGGAGUCCCCAAGGAGGAUCCCCUGGUGCCAGCUGGAUGCCAAGGUGGGAAGAGAGCAGAGGGAACACUGGAGACUGGACUAACAGCUCCUGCUCCACGUGGGUGCUCAGAGCACGCUUUGAUGCCCAAAAUGUUUGAAGAGGGAGUUUACUCACCCCCUGCAGAGGAGGUAAAAGGAAGCAUCAGAUUCACAUAUGAUCUUCAUAUGCUUAUUUUGGGGCUGUGACAGUAUCAGCUCGUGUACAUGGAAAACAGGAACCUAAAGUGCGCGUUUCAACUUGGUCCUGGCGUGGUGUCCAGCCUCUGCCUGCCCUCGUGGAGCAGGGAGCCUGCAGCGCCUUCGGGACAGGCACUGCGCUUCUCCAGGGGCUUUGGCUCUCUGCUCCGUCCCACAGAGCGGCAGGAGAGGUGAGGAAGCUACAGACGCCCUGAGUGCAUCACUAGAAGUUUAAAGCAGGUGAAAAUCUGUCACUCCUCUCCACAUCAGGGCUCCGUCGAACAGGCAGUGCCAAUUCGAGGGUAACCUCGCAGGGCAGGUGGGACGCACUGUGUGAGGUCUGAUUGCCCACAGCGAUGGCAGAAGGAUCCCACGUCUCUCCCACAAGAGCUGUCAGCACUCAGGAGGUGCAGAUAGAGAAGAAAAAAACCAAUGUUUGUGUUUGAAGUCCUGAGCUGAACUACACUGAGAUGGAGUUACCAGCGCUUGGACUAUGCCACACGGCACCCUCGUGGGCAAUGGGAAGGGGCUGAGGGUGCUGGUCCCUGCUGGGGGAUCGCCCAGCAGCAUCUCCCACCACCUCGCUCCAUCGCUGCUCCCCUUGCCCUGCACAUCUUGAAGCUCAGCGUGCUGAGAGGGAGGGAUGGACAGGGUUUGUGGCGAAAGCAGCACUGCAGAGUCUCAGGAGGUCUGCGCUCCGCCGCCGGUUCCUCUCUUGCCUUCAGAAUUCUCCUCCCCAGAACUUCCCACAGGAGCCCAAGGGGUGGUGGCUGUCAGCCUGAGGAUGGGGCAGCCCCAGCUCCUCGCUCUCCGCAGCAGCAACGGGAGUGAAAAUCGAGCAAGAAGUGAGUAUCUCUGCUUUCGCAUGAGACAACCUCACCGUCUCGGGUCCCUGCAGUAGGUUUCCCCUUUGCCCUGCCCCUGCCCUCGGUGCAGCGGGAGAGGCUGUUGCUGCAGGCUGGCAGGUGCACAGAUCUGCAUCCCAACCACCACAGCCCCACCGAGUCCUGCCUGGCAAGGGAAGGGAUUGUCCUUCUCCACUGGAUACCUCCUAACAAAUUGCUGAGCUCCUCAUUUGUUCUGGUUUUGGGGCACAGCACUAAUUUAUUCCCAUUUCUGUCAAGCCCGUGGGUGGGUUGCAUGGUCGCCCCUCACCCUGCCGGCACUGCGUGACUCGAGGGAAUCGCUAAGAGCAUCAAGCAGAAGGGGUGACACAGGGCCAACCGGCACAGCCCUCCCGCCCCAGACCUUCACCAUCGUGCAUUAAGUGCCUGGACAGCUGUCAGUGUGGGGGUUAGGGGUCAGGUCCUGGGAGAGGCGUCCUCUCCUCCAACGAGGGCUUGAACAAGUGAUGAGUUAGUGUCAUUCUCCCCACCACCUCCUCCCUGUUCACAGCAUCACAACAUCCCGGCACGGGGCAAGUCCAGACCUGGCGUGGUGCUGCUUCCUCUGAUCAUGGGCUGGGACGACGGUAACUCAAUCAGUGAGGAAAAGAAAAACACAUUUGUGCAUAUGUAGCUGUAUGUAAGCUCCUUUAAUUGUGCAGUUGUAAGGCAGAUUAAACUAUCUUCUGAUAUCUCCUGGUGUCAUAGGGAAUCUCUCCUUCUUUCCAUGCACAUCACACAGUGCUGCAUAGGGGGGGUAAUUAAAUCCUCAGUAAUUAUCAAGCAGGUAUUCUAACAGAACACCCAUUGCUCUUUCACACCUGCCCUGACAUGUGAAGAAGACAAGACAGUACUCAGAAGUCCUUGGAAUGGCAAAAUUCACCUUCCUGCCCUAGAAAACGCAUGGGAAGCUGCAGAGCUGAGCCCCUGCUUGGGUCAGAGCUGUGACCUGCACGGGAGAAGACCCUGCCACCACACCAGCUAUCUCAGUGGCUUCCAAUGUGUUCUCCUCCUGCGCAGACUGUAAGGAUUGAGAUGGAGAAUGAGACGAAACCCCAAACGGGACGAAAGCAGGGGGAGCAGAGCCGGGGCUGAGCCAGAGACCUGUGCCUCUGAACAUUUCUUUUUGCUCCUGACUGCUGGGAUUUGUCUCCACCUCAGCAGCCAGUAAAGAAGAACAAGCUGGGAAAUGAACAGGAACGAGGACACUGAUAUAUUCCACAGCAGUUCAGCUUGUCUGAUGAUUUCCUAUGAGGGAGCUGGCCAAAGCCUUGCUAAUUGGCUCUGGCUGAGCCAGGAUCGCAGCGGCGAGCAGUGUCUGCUCCCACCUCGUGCCUGCAGUCCCGACACCUCCGUAACGAGGCGCGUUCGCAGUGCUCGCCUUCUCAAGGGCGGCCGCAGCACUGCCUCAGCCAUCAUCAAGUAUUAUCUUAAUCAAAUAAAGUUGGAAGAAGCUAAGAGCAGGUAUUGCUGCUCUGCUCAGGGUUUCUUGAGCAGAAAGGAAAGGAAAUUUCUGCAAAACAAACUUGGAUCUUAAAUUGAUUUCUCUCAUUUUGUCUCUUUUCAUCUGCCCAGGGAAUGGAAACAGUCUAGGACACCUAACUACACUCCUGAAAGGUCAAGAAUGCUUAAAGGACCUCUUUUCCUGGGACCAGUGAGUAUUCUCAUCCGUAGGGAUCCCCGGCAAGAUGUGCUGCUGCCUAAGAGCCUCCUCUGCGCACAGGUGGGUGCAUCCCCCAAACCCUCCUUAAACCCCAGAGCACGGCUUAACCCAACACACGCUGCCGAGAAGAGCGGCGGAAAGGAUUUUCAGCAAAAUGUGCAUUACAAAGCCGUAUGGAUGCUGGAAGGAGCGGGGUGCUCUUCUAGUAACGCUGCUGGGGUCCGUGAGCAGGGGCUGCGCUGCCGGGCUUGCAGCGAGCCCACCCACCGCCCGCCGGGGCGCUGCCCUUGGGCCAAAGCACCGGGCUGGGACAGACAAGAGGCUGCCACCAGGCCCAUGGAAACGAGAUGAUUCAGGGAUGCAUGGUGA